GCUACACAUGCAGUCGACGAUGACGGUGGUGCUUGCACCACCUGAUUAGUGGCGAACGGGUGAGUAACACGUGAGUAACCUGCCCCCCACUUCGGGAUAACCUCGGGAAAUCGUGGCUAAUACCGGAUAUGAGCACUCAUCGCAUGGUGGGUGCUGGAAAGAUUUAUCGGUGGGGGAUGGACUCGCGGCCUAUCAGUUUGUUGGUGAGGUGAUGGCUCACCAAGACGAUGACGGGUAGCCGGCCUGAGAGGGCGACCGGCCACACUGGGACUGAGACACGGCCCAGACUCCUACGGGAGGCAGCAGUGGGGAAUAUUGCACAAUGGGCGAAAGCCUGAUGCAGCGACGCCGCGUGGGGGAUGACGGCCUUCGGGUUGUAAACCCCUUUCAGUAGGGAAGAAGCGAGAGUGACGGUACCUGCAGAAGAAGCGCCGGCUAACUACGUGCCAGCAGCCGCGGUAAUACGUAGGGCGCAAGCGUUGUCCGGAAUUAUUGGGCGUAAAGAGCUUGUAGGUGGCUUGUCGCGUCUGCCGUGAAAACCCGAGGCUCAACCUCGGGCGUGCGGUGGGUACGGGCAGGCUAGAGUGUGGUAGGGGAGACUGGAACUCCUGGUGUAGCGGUGAAAUGCGCAGAUAUCAGGAAGAACACCGAUGGCGAAGGCAGGUCUCUGGGCCAUUACUGACACUGAGAAGCGAAAGCAUGGGUAGCGAACAGGAUUAGAUACCCUGGUAGUCCAUGCCGUAAACGUUGGGCACUAGGUGUGGGGGACAUUCCACGUUUUCCGCGCCGUAGCUAACGCAUUAAGUGCCCCGCCUGGGGAGUACGGCCGCAAGGCUAAU
rnacentral:rRNA from 1 species